AUCUCUAUAAAAAACUUCACGCAAUUGAAACUUUAAAAAGUUCUACGGUAAAUAUCGGCUCUAACAUGAUAAAUAAUGGAUUCAUCAUUGACACUCGCGUUUUAUUCAACGGAGUUGUAAUAUUCGUGGACCUUGUCUUGAUAUCGAAUAAAUCCCUCUCAUUGGUUAAAAUCUUGCGGGGAGAACCGGAAGCCAAUGAAUUCUAGAAUUACUUUCAUAGAUCUAACUUCACUCUUCUGAACGAAAAUCGCGAAAUUAGUUCUCAUACCAGACAAUGCGGCUUUCCUAAAUCUUGACCAAAACAUAAAAGAAAAAUUGAGAGAGAAUACCUCUUACGCUAAAGAGUUCCUUGAAAAUCAUAUAGCUCUAUCUAAUGCCCUGAAUACUAUUCGACAUCUUGAAGGGGCAAAUGGUUCAAUGUACAAUGAUAUUACGCGUAUUGUGAUACCCAACAAUAUACAAUGUGUAAGAAAGAUUAGCAAAAAGAUCUAUCAUUUCUGCGGAG